rnacentral:rRNA from 1 species
AUACGUAGGGUGCGAGCGUUGUCCGGAAUUACUGGGCGUAAAGAGCACGUAGGUGGUUUGUCGCGUCGUCUGUGAAAUUCCGGGGCUUAACUCCGGGCGUGCAGGCGAUACGGGCAUAACUUGAGUACUGUAGGGGAGACUGGAAUUCCUGGUGUAGCGGUGAAAUGCGCAGAUAUCAGGAGGAACACCGGUGGCGAAGGCGGGUCUCUGGGCAGUAACUGACGCUGAGGAGCGAAAGCAUGGGUAGCGAACAGGAUUAGAUACCCUGGUAGUCCAUGCCGUAAACGGUGGGCGCUAGGUGUAGGGGUCUUCCACGACUUCUGUGCCGUAGCUAACGCAUUAAGCGCCCCGCCUGGGGAGUACGACCGCAAGGUUGAAACUCAAAGGAAUUGGCGGGG